rnacentral:tRNA from 1 species
CGGGGCGUAGCGCAGUCCGGUAGCGCAUCGGCUUUGGGAGCCGAGGGUCGCCGGUUCGAAUCCGGCCGCCCCGA